AACGCUAGCUACAGGCUUAACACAUGCAAGUCGAGGGGAAACGAUAUUGGAAGCUUGCUUCCGAUAGGCGUCGACCGGCGCACGGGUGAGUAACGCGUAUCCAACCUGCCCACCACUUGGGGAUAACCUUGCGAAAGUAAGACCAAUACCCAAUGAUAUCUCUAGAAGACAUCUGAAAGAGAUUAAAGAUUUAUCGGUGAUGGAUGGGGAUGCGUCUGAUUAGCUUGUUGGCGGGGUAAUGGCCCACCAAGGCAACGAUCAGUAGGGGUUCUGAGAGGAAGGUCCCCCACAUUGGAACUGAGACACGGUCCAAACUCCUACGGGAGGCAGCAGUGAGGAAUAUUGGUCAAUGGACGAGAGUCUGAACCAGCCAAGUAGCGUGCAGGAUGACGGCCCUAUGGGUUGUAAACUGCUUUUAUAAGGGAAUAAAGUGAGUCUCGUGAGACUUUUUGCAUGUACCUUAUGAAUAAGGACCGGCUAAUUCCGUGCCAGCAGCCGCGGUAAUACGGAAGGUCCGGGCGUUAUCCGGAUUUAUUGGGUUUAAAGGGAGCGUAGGCCGGAGAUUAAGCGUGUUGUGAAAUGUAGACGCUCAACGUCUGCACUGCAGCGCGAACUGGUUUCCUUGAGUACGCACAAAGUGGGCGGAAUUCGUGGUGUAGCGGUGAAAUGCUUAGAUAUCACGAAGAACUCCGAUUG
rnacentral:rRNA from 1 species